rnacentral:rRNA from 1 species
UCCUAGCUGUAAACGAUCUGUACUAGUCCGUGGGGGCUCCCACACCUUCUCGGACGUAGCGAAAGUGUUAAGUACAGCGCCUGGGGAGUAUGGUCGCAAGGCUGAAACUCAAAGGAAUUGGCGGGGGCUCACACAAGCGGUGGAGGAUGUGGCUUAAUUCGAGGCUACGCGAAGAACCUUACCUAGGCUUAACAUGUUUGAGAGCGUCUGUGAAAGCAGAAAGUGCCCUUCGGGGAACUCUUACGUAGGUGCUGCAUGGCUGUCGUCAGCUCGUGUCGUGAGAUGUCGGGCUAAGUCCCUUAACGAGCGAAACCC